CAGGCUUAACACAUGCAAGUCGAGGGGCAGCAUGGUCUUAGCUUGCUAAGGCCGAUGGCGACCGGCGCACGGGUGAGUAACGCGUAUCCAACCUGCCUUACACUCUUGGACAGCCUUCUGAAAGGGAGAUUAAUACAAGAUGUUAUCAUGAGUAAGCAUUUUCGCAUGAUUAAAGGUUUACCGGUGUAAGAUGGGGAUGCGUUCCAUUAGAUAGUAGGCGGGGUAACGGCCCACCUAGUCUUCGAUGGAUAGGGGUUCUGAGAGGAAGGUCCCCCACAUUGGAACUGAGACACGGUCCAAACUCCUACGGGAGGCAGCAGUGAGGAAUAUUGGUCAAUGGACGAGAGUCUGAACCAGCCAAGUAGCGUGAAGGAUGAAGGUUCUAUGGAUUGUAAACUUCUUUUAUACGGGAAUAAACGAAUCCACGUGUGGAUUUUUGCAUGUACCGUAUGAAUAAGGAUCGGCUAACUCCGUGCCAGCAGCCGCGGUAAUACGGAGGAUCCGAGCGUUAUCCGGAUUUAUUGGGUUUAGAGGGAGCGUAGAUGGGUUGUUAAGUCAGUUGUGAAAGUUUGCGGCUCAACCGUAAAAUUGCAAUUGAUACUGGCAGUCUUGAGUACAGUUGAGGUAGGCGGAAUUCGUGGUGUAGCGGUGAAAUGCUUAGAUAUCACGAAGAACUCCGAUUGCGAAGGCAGCUUACUAACCUGUAACUGACAUUGAUGCUCGAAAGUGUGGGUAUCAAACAGGAUUAGAUACCCUGGUAGUCCACACGGUAAACGAUGAAUACUCGCUGUAGGCGAUAUACAGUCUGCGGCCAAGCGAAAGCAUUAAGUAUUCCACCUGGGGAGUACGCCGGCAACGGUGAAACUCAAAGGAAUUGACGGGGGCCCGCACAAGCGGAGGAACAUGUGGUUUAAUUCGAUGAUACGCGAGGAACCUUACCCGGGCUUAAAUUGCAACCGAAUAUGGCGGAAACGCUAUAGCUAGCAAUAGCGGUUGUGAAGGUGCUGCAUGGUUGUCGUCAGCUCGUGCCGUGAGGUGUCGGCUUAAGUGCCAUAACGAGCGCAACCCUUGCCGAUAGUUACUAACAGGUCAUGCUGAGGACUCUGUCGGGACUGCCAUCGUAAGAUGUGAGGAAGGUGGGGAUGACGUCAAAUCAGCACGGCCCUUACGUCCGGGGCUACACACGUGUUACAAUGGGGGGUACAGAGGGCUGCUACCACGCAAGUGGAUGCCAAUCCCAAAAACCUCUCUCAGUUCGGAUUGAAGUCUGCAACCCGACUUCAUGAAGCUGGAUUCGCUAGUAAUCGCGCAUCAGCCACGGCGCGGUGAAUACGUUCCCGGGCCUUGUACACACCGCCCGUCAAGCCAUGGGAGCCGGGGGUACCUGAAGUGCGUAACCGCAAGGAGCGCCCUAGGGUAAAACUGGUGACUGGGGCUAAGUCGUA
rnacentral:rRNA from 1 species